GGAGCUGGGCUGGUGUGCGCGCGGCCGGAGUCUGUGGAGCUGGAAAUUCACCGGUCCAGGAAGACGUCUUUCCCGCGUCCCAGCACCGGUCCAGAAAGACGUCUUUCCCGCGUCCCAGCACCUCGGGCCACGCUCCUUCGUGAGAGCGCCCUCUCCAAGGAGGCCGGCCCUGGAUAUUUCACCCAAAAUAUUUAUUUUUUCUUUUUUUCUAGGCUCCUGUUUUCCUAAUAGCAUGAACAGCCCCCCCGUCAGCUCCUACCCCUUGGUCUCUGACCUGUUCCUCCUCCGAGGUGACCUCUAUCCUGAAUUUUGAAAACAUAUUAGUAUUGCCUGUUUCUGGACUUUGUGCAGAUGAAGUCAUUGGUUCUCCCUCUGUCACCCAGAGCUGGAGUGCGGUGGCAUAAUCACAGCUAAUUGCAGCCUCAACAUUCCAGGCCCAAGGAUCCUCCCUUCAGCCUUCCAGAUGGAGUGUCGCUCUCUCACCCAGGCUGGAGUGCAGUGGCGCUAUCUUGGCUCACUGCAACAUCUGCUUCCCAGGUUCAAGUGAUUAUCCUGCCUCAGCCUCCCAAGUUGCUGGGAUUACAGGCGUGUGCCACCACGCCUGGCUAAUUUACUAAACUAAUAAAUUACUAAAUUAAGUCGGGGGUCUCCCUAUGUUUCCCAGGCUGGCCUCGAACUCCUGACCUCAAGUGAUCCUCCCACCUCAGCCUCCCCGAGUGCUGGGAUUAAAGACGUGAGCCACGGCACCUGGCCUGAAUUUUCCUCAAAUUCAAAAAAUCCUGAUGAAGGUUUGGCUAAAAUCUUUGGUGAGUUACCCCACUCCCUGUGGAACCUCAGGCUGGAUUUGAAGAGUUGCGUGCAUGGUCCUCAUUGUCUCCCAGGUAACCUGUUCCCGCUGCUGUGAAGGGAAGGCAGGUGCUCUUCCUUGAGGCUAGAAUCUGUCUACGUGUCACAGUCUCAGGAAAUUAAGCAAAACAGAUGAUAAACACCUCAAAAGGACCCUACUGAGCAUCAGUGGAGCAGAGCAGGGCCAUGU
rnacentral:sRNA from 1 species